rnacentral:tRNA from 1 species
GGGGCUGAGGCUCAGUGGUGGAGCACUUGCCUAGCAUGUAUGAGGCACUGGGUUCAACCCUCAGCACCA